rnacentral:rRNA from 1 species
UACAGAGGUCUCAAGCGUUGUUCGGAAUCACUGGGCUUAAAGCGUGUGUAGGUGGAUGUCUAAGUACCUUGUGAAAUCCCACGGCUUAACCGUGGAAUUGCUUGGUAUACUGGAUGUCUUGAGCUAGCUAGGGGCAACCGGAACAAAUGGUGGAGCGGUGAAAUGCGUAGAUAUCAUUUGGAACGCCAAUGGUGAAAACAGGUAGCUGGGGCUGUGCUGACACUGAGACACGAAAGCCAGGGGAGCAAACGGG